ncrna:unclassified sequences IMPDH RNA
UCAUUGAGAUGCUGGGCGCUAUGGUCGUCCUCCUCCGGCUGACCUCCUUCUCAGCUGCUGACCGGCGCCGCACAGGCGGCAUCUCAGCUUCGUGUGCAAAAAAGCCCGUC